GACGAACGCUGGCGGCGUGCCUAAUACAUGCAAGUCGAACGAGAGCGCCCGGUGCUUGCCCUGGUCAAUCUAGUGGCGAACGGGUGAGUAACACGUGGGUAACCUGCCCAUCAGAGGGGGAUAACAUUCGGAAACGGAUGCUAAAACCGCAUAGGUCUUCGAACCGCAUGGUUUGAAGAGGAAAAGAGGCGCAAGCUUCUGCUGAUGGAUGGACCCGCGGUGCAUUAGCUAGUUGGUGAGGUAACGGCUCACCAAGGCCGUGAUGCAUAGCCGACCUGAGAGGGUGAUCGGCCACAUUGGGACUGAGACACGGCCCAAACUCCUACGGGAGGCAGCAGUAGGGAAUCUUCCGCAAUGGACGCAAGUCUGACGGAGCAACGCCGCGUGAGUGAAGAAGGUGUUCGGAUCGUAAAACUCUGUUGUUAGAGAAGAAUAAGUGCUAGAGUAACUGUUAGCGCCUUGACGGUAUCUAACCAGAAAGCCACGGCUAACUACGUG
rnacentral:rRNA from 1 species